rnacentral:rRNA from 1 species
UACGUAGGGGGCUAGCGUUGUCCGGAAUCAUUGGGCGUAAAGAGCGUGUAGGCGGCCCGGUAAGUCCGCUGUGAAAGUCGGGGGCUCAACCCUCGAAUGCCGGUGGAUACUGUCGGGCUAGAGUGCGGAAGAGGCGAGUGGAAUUCCUGGUGUAGCGGUGAAAUGCGCAGAUAUCAGGAGGAACACCGAUUGCGAAGGCAGCUCGCUGGGACGUUACUGACGCUGAGACGCGAAAGCGUGGGGGAGCAAACAGG